UUUUUUUUUUUUUUUUUUUUUUGUCUUUUUCUGGAGCACCUCCAGCGGCAUAUGGAGGUUCCCAGGCUAGGGGUCCAAUUGGAGCUGCAGCCACCGGCCUACACCAGAGCCACAGCAACACUGGAUCCGAGCUGCUUCUGCAACCUACACCACAGCUCACGGCAACGUCAGAUCCUUAACCCACUGAGCAAGGUCAGGGAUCGAACCCUCAACCUCAUGGUUCCUAGUCGGAUUCGUUAACCACUGAGCCACGACGGGAACUCCGACUCCACAUUUCCUGAGGGUAAAUAGUCAGUACACUUCAAACCAUUCUGUUUUUCACUUUUAGUAUAAUAUACAAUAAAUUGCAUGAGAUAUUCAGUGCUUUAUUGUAAAAUAGGCUUUGUGUUAGAUGAUUAGCCAACUGUAGGCUAAGUGUUCUGACCAUGUGUAGGUAAGCUAUGAUGUUUGGUGUGGCACAUGGAAGUUUCCAUGCCAGGGUUUGAAUCAGAGCUGCAGCUGCUGGCCUACACUACAGCCAUAGCAACACCAGAUCCCAGCUGUGUCUUUGACCUGCACCACAGCUCAUAGCAACACUGGAUCCUUAACUCACUGAGCAAGACCAGAUGUCAAACCCACAUCCUCAUGGAUACUAGUCAGAUUCUUUUUUGUUUGUUUGUUUGUUUUGUUUUGUUUUAGGGCCAUACCCGUGGCAUAUGGAAGUUCCCAGGCUAGGGGAGGAAUUGGAGCUAUAGCUGCUGGCCUACACCAUAGCCACAGCAACACUAGAUCUGAGCCAUGUCUGCGACCUACACUACAGUUCACGGCAACACUGGAUCCUUAAACCACUGAGUGAGGCCAGAGAUAAAACCCUCAGCCUCAUGGUUCCUAGUCAGAUUCCUUUCCACUGAGCCAUGACGGGAACUCUACUAGUCAGAUUCUUAACCCACUGAACCACAAUGGGAACUCCCUGCUAAAUGCAUUUUUGAGUUACGAUAUUUUCAGGUUAUGAUGGAUUUUUUGGGGGGACAUAACCGCAUUAUAAUUUGAGAAACAGCUCUAUAUUAAUAUGCUAUAAAAUAAAAUUCAGCUUCUUAGUGGUGUUUCUAGAUUUUUAAAAUUUAAUUUUCAUAUUAAAUGAAGGAUGAUAGGAAUAGUCUUAUUAAUGACAGUGAGCUAAGAUAUGAAAUAAGGUAUGACUUUGCUCAGGUACAGUUAAAAAACAGUAAAUUUGGAGUUCCUGUCCUGGCUCAGUGGUUAACGAAUCCAACUAGGAGCCAUGAGAUUUCAGGUUCGAUUCCUGGCCUUGCUCAGUGGGUUAAGGAUCUGGCAUUGCUGUGAGCUGUGGUGUAGGUCGAAGACGUGGCUCGGAUCCCGGCAUUGCUGUGGCUGUGGUAUAGGCCGGUGGCUAUAGCUCCGAUUAGACCCCUGGCCUGGGAACCUCCAUAUGCCACGGGUCUGGCCCUAGAAAAGACAAAAAAACAAACAAAAAAAACAGUAAAUUUCAUUGAUGACAUACAAUUUGUUUAUUAAGCCAACGUCUUUGAUGUGAAUCCAUAAGUAUUUAUUGAGUAUGUAUAUUCUUAGCAUGUUAAAUGAAUUAUGCUAUUGCUCUUGACAUUUAUUAUCCUAGAUAGACUAAAUUAUUUUUGGUAAACUUUUUUUUGAUAAAGUAACAAAAUUGACUUCUUUAAAGGACAAGAAUGAAAGCACAUUUUGUGAAGUUGCAGUGUCUGAGCUAUGAUUCAAAGUGUGGGAGGAAGUAUUGACGCUAUGAAGCCCGUAAGUACUCAGUAGUACUAAGCUUCUGGUUCCAAAAGUGGCAUAUUGUCACUAUAGCAACUACCCAUGCUUAUUUGGAUUUGAAACCCAGACAACGAAUGAUGGGUAAGAGUACAAUGUCAAGAUGGAUGUGUAUCCUGGUGGAUUGAUAUGGAUGUCUGUUGAUGGUCAAGUGUUUGUUCCGUUUUUCUUAUGUUUAUUAUGAUUGAUUCUUUCGUAGUGGUAUUUUAAUUCUUGUUAAUUUAUUUUCUGGAGAGAAGUUAAACAUUCAAUAUUCUUACGUUCUUCCUUUUCUAAUAUGCUAAAUUUAAUGCUUUUUCCAGUUUGGUUAUUAGGAUAUUAAAUAUAUUUCUGCUAUAAGUUUCUCACUGUCACUGUUUGGCAAGUUGCCAAACAGUAAUUAUAAAACAUAACUUUAUUAUGCCGAAUCGCUUGGAAUUUUAUAACAGAAAAAACCUGUAAUACAGAUUUUAUUUUAGCUACAUCAUGAAAAAAUGUUCAAGGCUACCAAUGAACAUUCACAUUGCCUAAAUUCAAACAUUCUUUGAAAGAAUUUUCUUUUUCCUGAGCAGAGUCUAGGUUUCAGAUGCUGUUGGCAGGUAGAGAUGACUUAGAUUCCUUCCAAUUAUCUAUUAGUUGCUUAUAUAAGUUUACUUAGAGGUACAGGAGCCUCCUGGGAGAACAGAACUGGAAACUUGAUUCUCUCCACCUUUGUCUGACCAAUUGAAAUGGUUCCUAGUGAAGUCAUAAUACAGGAAAAAGAAAUGAAGGUUUGAAGGGAACUUGUCUUUAGGGUAGGAUAAGUCUGCGCUGGUGAGCUAAACAUAGGACAAAGGACCAUGUCGUUUUUUCCACCUAGUUGUGUAUUGUUGAUGUCAGAACUGAUCUUUACCAAGGGCCCCACAAGUUGGUUGGCCAAGUUUGUGAACUGAAGGAUCUAUAUCAAUAAAGCAGGGAUUGAUAGCUCAUAUCCUAAAGGAGAUAGGAGCAAUAAGAGAAGAACUGGGUCCUGAGCAAGAUGACGGUUAGUGGCGAGUACUGGACUUACCAGAAGAUGUUUUUCCCAGUGGGAAACCAGCUCUGUGUUUCCAGAUUUCCCAGUACUUAAAGAAACUAAAGUACUAAUUUUUUUUUUUUAAAGAUGAAAUGUCCUAAUUGUCUACCUUCACAUUAAAAAUAUCCUGUGGGCCAAACAAACCAGAUUUAAUCUGUAGGACACCAGGUUACAACUUCUUAACCUAAGAGUUCUUAUACAUGUGAGCUGGGGCAACUUUGUUUUCCAAGAACUAGGCCUGCUAGCUAAUUCCUGUAUUUUAAAUCCACUCCUAGAGCUACUUUUUUUCUUACUUUUUUUUUGGGGGGGGGCGGUGCUGUACCUGUGGUGUAUGGAAGUUUCCAGACCAAGGGUUGAGUCCGAGAUGCAGCUGCUGCCUACACCACAGCUGUGGCAAUGACAGAUCCUUGACCCACUGGCUGGGCUGGGGAUGGAACCCGCUCAGAGACAAUGCCAGAUACCCAACCCACUGGCCAUAGCCUGAAGUCUUAAAGCUAUGUUUUUUCCAUUCAUUCCUUUCACAGUUUAAAAAAGAAAGGGGAUUUCCCGUUGUAGUUCAGUGGUAACUAAUAUCCAUAAGGACAUGAGUUCGAUCCCUGGCCUCAUUCAGUGGGUUAAGGAUCUGGCAUUGCUGUGAGCUGUGAUGUAGGUUGCAGACCUGGCUCGGAUCCUGGGUUGCUGUGGCUGUGGCGUAGGCUAAAGCUGCUGCUCCUAUUCAACCCCUAGCCUGGGAACUUUCAUAUGGUGCAGGUGUGGCCCUGAAAAGAAAAAAAAGAAAAAGAAGAAGAGGUUUAACUUAAUGACUAUUUUAUAGCAUUACUGUUUCUUGCCUUUUAUUCAAGAGGAUGGGUGUUUUUAGAGGCACCUUUUGUUACCUAAGAUGUUAAUAAAAAUGUAUUAAAAACCAAAUACUGCUGUCUUUAAUGCAGUUGAUUCAAACAAUCGGUUUCCUUGACUUCCAGUCAAAAUCAGUAAUUGGAUGAUUUUAAUUAUCUUGGUUGGAGUUGUCCAGCUUAUAUUACUUAUAGGCAGUAUUGUACAGUGGGGCUCGUAGGACUUUUACUCCAAGGGUCCUGUCUCUAAGCAGUCAUUUUAAUUGGGUUUCUUUAGUUGCUUAACUAGCUUAAGUAAGGAGGUUCCCCCCCCCUUUUUUUUAUACAUACUUCAGGGAGUUUUGAGGACAUCCAUACACACACAUGCGUUAGAGCUUACCUGAGCCUCAUGCGGACUAAAUGGGGACCUGUAAACAGGAACUAAUUGUUUCGUAAUCUCUCUUUCUCAGCAGGCUUCCUUUGCCUUUUCAUCUUGCAAGGGGCCCAACUGCUGGCCCUUACUAGGCUAUAUACUCUUCUAGCUCAAGUAUCCACUUUCAUUUAGAGAUUUGUUCUUUGUCUCUAGUUAGAAUUCUUGUGAGAAUCUGAUUGGACUAUUUUUGGAAGAUAGGCUACAAAAAAAGCUGAUGGCAUUCCUAUCGAUUGGCUGCUUUAAGGUAAAGUGUCCUGCCCUAGUUCAGUUUGCUGAGUUUAGGAGGAUAGAGUAAUGUACUGAAUGCUUUGGACUGAUGGAUGUGGGGAUUUGGGUGAAGAGAGAAAGGAGCUUUGUCUAAACCAAGGUAUGGACCACAACCACUAGGAAACCUAUUAGUACAGUAGAUACAAUGUCUUAGUGACCUUUUAUCCAGAGAUGCCUAGAACUUUGUAUUGAACAAAAAUGGCCUAAGCUGAUAACUGACCUCUUAAAUAGUUGUUGAGUAGUGUGCAGAUAGUCUCUGGCUUCCCUCAUUCCUGGAAUAACCAUCAGACUUCCAGGUUAUACUGGUUGAAUAGCCAUGAGACUCUGUCAUGAAGAGAUAUUUCCUUCAUGGUCAAUUACUGUAAUAUCCUCAUUGUAGAUUUUAAUAUUUAAUCCUUUGGAAAAAUCUCUUAAGCCUGUUAAGUGCUGAAAAGGUGAAAUGAAGUGAAUAUUUACGUACAGUAAACAUUAAUUGGAGUGUUGCUUUGGUUUAGGGGAAAAAGUUUCACCUGCUAUGCCGUGGCUGUGGCUGUGGCACAGGCUGGCAGCUGCAGCUCCAAUUCGACUUCUAGCCUGGGAACUUCCAUGUGCCUCAGGUGCAGCC
rnacentral:lncRNA from 1 species